rnacentral:rRNA from 1 species
GAUGAACGCUGGCGGCGUGCCUAAUACAUGCAAGUCGAGCGAACGGACGAGAAGCUUGCUUCUCUGAUGUUAGCGGCGGACGGGUGAGUAACACGUGGAUAACCUACCUAUAAGACUGGGAUAACUUCGGGAAACCGGAGCUAAUACCGGAUAAUAUUUUGAACCGCAUGGUUCAAAAGUGAAAGACGGUCUUGCUGUCACUUAUAGAUGGAUCCGCGCUGCAUUAGCUAGUUGGUAAGGUAACGGCUUACCAAGGCAACGAUGCAUAGCCGACCUGAGAGGGUGAUCGGCCACACUGGAACUGAGACACGGUCCAGACUCCUACGGGGAGCAGCAGUAGGGAAUCUUCCGCGAUGGGCGAAAGCCUGACGGAGCAACGCCGCGUGAGUGAUGAAGGUCUUCGGAUCGUAGAACUCUGUUAUUAGGGAAGAACAUAUGUGUAAGUAACUGUGCACAUCUUGACGGUACCUAAUCAGAAAGCCACGGCUAACUACGUG